AUUGAACGCUGGCGGCAGGCCUAACACAUGCAAGUCGAGCGGACGAAGGAGGAUCUUGCUUGGCUUAUGUGGGGGACGGGCGGGUAAGUCAUAGGAAUAUGCCCGGCCUAGGGGACUAAGGUCAGGACGGGGGAGCUAAUCUCAUACCGGAUCAUAUGUUGAACGGGGUGGUUCUUCGGACAAAGCGCGUUUAGCUGUCCCUAGGUCGUAUUAGCUAGUUGGUGGGGUAAGGGCCUACCAAGGCGACGAUCCGUAACUGCUCUGAGAGGGUGAUCAGCCACACUGGAACUGAGACACGGUCCAGACUCCUACGGGAGGCAGCAGUAGGGAAUAUUGGGCAAUGGGCGAAAGCCUGAUCCAGCCAUGCCGCGUGUGUGAAGAAGGUCUUCGGAUUGUAAAGCUCUUUAAGUUGGGAAGAAGGGCAGUAAGUGAAUCCCUUGCUGUUUUGACGUUACCAAAAGAGUAAGCACCGGCUAACUUCGUG
rnacentral:rRNA from 1 species